UUAUUUUUUAUUCUUUGAACGGGCAUUGACCGAAUAAAGCCUUAUAUUAAUUUCAUCUUGCAUAUAAUAUUUUGAUAUGAGGGUCUUUAUUGCAUUGAUUCAAUGUUUACUCAUUCAUUGUUGUUUGGGGAAUAAUAACAACAGAAGGGUAAAUAUUCCUGGCGGCGAUACUGAACAGAAUCCGCUAAACCCUAAUUACAAAGUAAUGUCUGAAAAAUCACUGAAGAAGUUUUUAGAAACCAAUGGAUCUCAUCGGCUUUAUAAGUUGUGGCAAGUACAGAGGGUAAGGACCCAAGUUGUUGCUGGAUUGAUAACAAAAGUAAAUUUCCUUGCCGCAGCGACAAAUUGUAUUGUCGAUAAACAAAUGAAACCAGUGAAUCCCCCAUGUGUCAUAACCUAUCCAGUCGAAUUGUUAGAGUGUUAUUCAGAAAUAUAUGAAGUACCUUGGGAACACAUCAAAGACAUAAAACCAAUAUGCUAUCCUUUGAACUACAGAGGUUGACACGUAUACAACUGCUGCACAUAACUCAGUAUUGUUAUUUCAUUUCUCUCAUAGAAUAGAAACAACACUUUCCAAAAUUAAUUUCGCUUAUAUUUUGCUCAAUCUUGGUGUUUUAAAUAAACAAAUUCAAAUUUA